rnacentral:rRNA from 1 species
GAUGAACGCUGGCGGCGUGCCUAAUACAUGCAAGUCGAACGGUGUAUCGCAAGAUACAUAGUGGCGAACGGGUGAGUAACGCGUUGGUGACCUGCCCCGAAGAGUGGGAUACCAGUUCGAAAGGACUGCUAAUACCGCAUGCGGUUGAAGAGACCAGAGGCUUAUCAACCAAAGGAGACAUUCGCUUCGGGAGGGGCCUGCGUCCCAUCAGCUAGUUGGCAGGGUAACGGCCUACCAAGGCGAUGACGGGUAGGGGACCUGAGAGGGUGGCCCCCCACAAUGGAACUGAACACGGUCCAUACACCUACGGGUGGCAGCAGUAGGGAAGUAUUGCAAAAUAGGGCGGCAAGCCCGACUGCAGCAACGCCGCGUGGGCGAUGAAGGCC